CCAAGGAGUCUAACAUGUGCGCAAGUCACGGGGUUUCUUGUACGAAACCUGAAUCAAGGCGUCAAUGAAAGUGAAGGCAGCCUCGGGUUUGCCUAGGUAGGAUCCUCUGUCUUUUUCGGAAGGCGGAGGCGCACUACCGGCCCGUCUCGUCCGCAUCGUCGGUGAGGCGGAGCAAGAGCGUACACGUUGGGACCCGAAAGAUGGUGAACUAUGCCUGAGUGGGACGAAGCCAGAGGAAACUCUGGUGGAGGUCCGCAGCGAUUCUGACGUGCAAAUCGAUCGUCAAACUUGGGUAUAGGGGCGAAAGACUAAUCGAACCAUCUA
rnacentral:rRNA from 1 species